rnacentral:lncRNA from 1 species
GCGCGCGGGGUUGGCUGCCGGGAGGUCGACGCUAGUGCGGUCCCCCGCGCGGCGGAGGGGCCCGGGCCGCGGUAUCUGCGCACUGAGACGUCGGCGGAAGGCUAGAGGCCGUGCUCUCGCCCCCGCAGAAGGCCACCACUCCUUGAGAAGGCCGGAGGGACAAAGCACCGGGCCUGCGCCGGGGGCAUUCAAGAAGGAAGCCAGGCCCGACCGGGGGUGGCGCACGCUUCCCGAACCCCAGGCCCACGGCCCGGUUCCGCGCGGGCAGUUGGCGCCCCCUCGGGUCGGCACAGCAGACCUCUUAGUAAUGGUCCCCAGGGAGUGUGAGUGGGUCCCCGCCAAUCUUUUAAGGUUCAGAGAUCCACCGUCGAACGAAGCCGCUUUUACAACUUCCCCAUUUAGCCUCUUUCCUCCCCCGCCGCUGGCUAAAGCGCUGAACCUUGCCAUCCUCCUGGGGUGCCUAACGAUUUGCCCUGCCUUGGACAGCCAGUCCUCUUCAGGUGGUGGGCUGCUGGUAGGGGUAGGAAGCAAGGCCUGGGGCACAGUUGGGGACCCUCACACCUGAUUUUCUGUUUUAAGGAGGAACUGGGUUUCAAAAAGCUGUAGAGUCAGUGGGAGUUUCCUUUUGUGGCCCUUGGCACUUUUUAAAACACCCAUCUGCAAGGCGGGAACAGCGGAGAAAGUGCUAUGUAGUUCAUAAAAAGGAUAUUGGGAGACUGUUAUCUUAAGAGUUUUUCUAGAGAUUGUUUUGUAAUCUCUCAGUUUAGAGAGUUGAUAUGUCCCGCGCCAUCAGCCCGCUGAAUGGGAUCUUCCUUCAGACAGGGACUGAGAAACGGAAAUACUACCAUCCUCCAGCCAAUCUGUUGGGAGGACUGCUUGCAGAGGACUCGUGCUCCAGAUGUUGCACUAGAGGCGCUGCAAGUGUGAGCAGCAGGUAGAUGAAACUCAAGAGAAAAGGUGUGGAUAAAUGAAACUAGCCCAUGAUGAACCUGUUUUCUCCGUGACCACAAUAUUAACCAGGAUGAAUGGCGGUGGCAGUGGGCCUGCAUCACAGGUUGCAGCAGAUGUUCUCAAUAUUUCUAUUAAAAUUUCCUUAUUUCCAUAUGCAAGAGGAGCCCCAGAGCUGCAUCCUUAUGGUAGCUACCAUGCCGUGAUGUAAGCUGCCAUUCACUGGGGAGCUUUGGCAAUAGAAUUGGCUAGAUCAGGAAGCCUAUGUCAACUAUGGAACAACAACUUGCAGCUCAUCUCUAUUGAUGAUGGAAUCUCGCUAUGUCACCAGGCUGGAGUGCAGUGGCGCAACCUCGGCUCAGCGCAACAUCCGCCUCCCGGGUUCAAGUGAUUCUCCUACCUCAGCCUCCUGAGUAGCUGGGAUUACAGAUACACUGCCUCUAGGACUGGGACAGAUAGCCACUGAGUACCUGCUUCAAAUCACCCUGCACG